GCCCGCCCGCCCGCCGGGGGCCGCCCGCCUGCCGGGGAGGGGCCGCACUGACGGGCGAGCGCCGCGUGCCGGAGAGUGGAGGCUGCAGAGCGCCCGGCAGCCGGGAUGCAGCGGCGCCGCCCGAGCCCGGGGUGCCAGGGGUCAGGGCACACGGGGAGAGGCCCGACGCGGGGCCGAAGGAAGGGUGGUCUUUCCCGCAGAGUUGCCGCUGGAGGACCGAAAGUUUUUGCAGGCAACCCUUGCUUCCAGCUUGUCCCUCUCUCCCCGGGUCCCUGUCGCCCACCGCGAGGCGCCGCCGCGGUAGACCCGACGGCUUGGCGGGGAGGAGGCAUGAGGGGUUGCGACCCCCACCACCACCCGAGCCAGGGAAGGGACCCUGGUGACCUCUCCUCCCAGCCUUCACCCCCGUCACCCCUUUCUUCUCUUUCCUGGAGGACUUUGGACCGUGGAGAUUCUGCAGUUGUUGCUCUGGGAGCUGAAACCAGUGGGUAGAUGUGGUUCUGAAAUGCAGUGCGUUAUACAUGACGUUGUUCAACAUUUGCCAUGUCCAGAAGAUCAUAGGAAACAGAACCUCACCUCAUGCCCACAGGAUGCUGUAAAGAUGGGCCCAAUGACGACAGCCAGCUCGGAUCUUGGUGAAGUUUCCGGAGUCACAACAGGAAAGCUGCAAGUAUCCAGCUCAUGCCAGCCCUGUGUGGUAACAGCACCAUUAUUCAAGAAAAGAUGGCAGUGCUGGGACCCCGGCAGGCAGCCAAGUACCAAGUAUUGGCAGCGUGUCAGAUGGCCACCAGUUACGAAGAGCUUCCCCGUUUCUGAAACCCCUCAGCUUCUCAAGAGUCUGUGAACUGGAGAAACCAGUUAUGCUAAAGGAGUCAUAGACCCAUUCUUUUCUCUUUUUGAGGGCUGGGGUGGGGAAUGGUAGAGCGGAACAACAUCUUCUAUUCAUCUACUCCUUCAAGAAGCAUUUACGGAGCUCUCCUCUGUGGCAGGCCCUACCCGAGAGGUGGAAAAGAGAAAUCUGGACACAUGGUAUGUCUCGGUUUUCCAAAGGCAUUUCACGAAAUCAGUAAGAAACUCUGUUGGGCUGAAUGGUGGCCCCUGAAGAUAUCAGGUCCUAAUACUUGAAACCUAUGAAUGUUACCUUAUAUGGUAAAGGCUUUGUAGAGGUGAUUAAGUUAAGGACCUUGAGUUGGAGAGAUUAUCCUGGAUUAGCCAGUUAGGCCCUAAAUGCCAUUAAAUGUAUCCUUAUAUAAGAAGGAGGCAGAGAAAUAAUGACAUGCACAGAGGAGAAAGCGAUGUAAAGAUGGAGCAGGAAAGAUUUAAAGAUGCUGGCGGUGGAGAUUGGAGUGAGACAGCUACACACCGAGGAACACUGCAGCCAGGGGGAACUGGAAGAGGUGGAGAACAGAUUCUCCCCACAGAGCUGCUGGAGGAGUGAGGUAUUCUGGCCCGUUGAUUUUGGCCCACCGAAACAGAGCGCUGUGAUCACUUGAGGGUGUCGUGUCAACCUCGUCUCAUGCACCAGCUGAAUUCAGUGACACUAACAUCCUGGAUCCUGCAGAUGAGAGUAUUAUGACUGCACUACCAGGGAGGCUGCCCAGGGCUGGACACUGCUCUGCUCUGGAGGCCGGAAAGGAGAAAUAGUCUUAUUUGCAUGAAAGUCCUAGUACUGCUGUAUCUCGUACUGUAAGUUCAGUUUUCUCCCUUCACCUGAGGGUAAGUUGAAGAAUAACUUCAUAAGCCAGGGAGAGAUACGUUUGGAUCAGGAGUUAGUGAUUACAGCCAUUCUGAUUCAUUAGGACUGCGUGUGGCCAUGGAACUUGCAUUUGGAAAAGCUCUCCUUAUGUUUCUGAUGAUCAAUCCAGUUUCAGAACACCAAGCUAACCAGACUCCCAGGAGGCUGCCACUGCCAAAUUUGCGAAGGCCCUCUGAAGCCCACCACCACAAGCUGGAGGUUAUAGUCACAGCAGAGGGGAGUCUUCGCCUCCUUUGUUCUGGACAGCAUCUGCAGUGACUGCUGCCUCCAACUGCACUGUGGGCUUGCAGCAGUGAGUAGGUUUCUUUUGACCUUGAAGUACCUAGACCCUGAGUUUUUUGUUUGUUUUAAAUAAACUUGUUCAGAUAUCACUCAUUUUGUAUCCUUGCACAUGUGUUUCUUGGUCUUAAAAGGACUUUAUAUCUAUCUCCAUUAUUUUUCUUGUUAGUUGUGACCCAUUAUUUCAACUUAUGUAUAUCUUUCAGUUCUUUCAGUUUGAUCACCAAUUAAAUUAUCUAGCUCAAUGUCAUUCUCAGAUCUUAAUACAUGUGAUGCCUCUCUUUGUCCAAAUACUUGAUAAGAGCUUUGUUAAAGGUAGGACCAACGAGAGUCUUUGAGCACUUGUAGGGGAAUUAAUUAAUACUCCUGCGCUACAGUUAUUCAACCAAAUAUGAACACACUUGAUUGUACUAUCAUUCAGUCUUAUCUAUAAUGGCAUGAAAAUUGGUCAAAUGCCUUUCUGUUCACAGCAUUUUCCUGAUUAAUCCACUAUGCUUAUUCAAAAAGGGAAGUAUUCAAUUUUAUUCUUGGCAAACCUAUGUGAGUUCCUACAUACCAUCGCCUUUUCUUCUUAGGGUUUAGAAAAUAUCUCUUUUAUAGUCUGUGCAAGAACUUUGCUGUGGAUUGAUAUCAAACUUACAUUUUGGCUGAGCUUUGAGUGACUCAGAAAGGGGCUGGGUUCAGGCUGGGAUGUGUGGAGCCUGGAGUGGUGGCAAGGCAAAGGCCAGCAGGGAUAGUGAAUAGAGGCCUCAGUGAUGAGGUGGGUGGGUUGGUUAAGUGCACAGGUGAUUGGGCUGGUUAAUUAGGGUAGGGAAUUGACUAGCUGUCAGUGAGGUGAACUGAAGAAUCCACCCUAUGAAGGUGUCAAGGGGCAGGGAAAGAACAAGAAUAGAAUCAGGGUAGAUGUCUCUUCAGAGAGCAGCCAGCUGAGCAGAGAAAGGCUGGAGGCUGAAGCUUGAUUAAUAUACACUAUGGUAGAAACCAUGAAAGCCCAAGGAUCCAGGAGGUGAAGCUGAUGUAAGUCAAGGGUGAGAAAUGGUCUUGGGGAACUGAGGCCUCAUCGGGUCUUCUGAUGAGACAGCUGUAUUCCCUGUCUCAGCAAAUGAUGCCAACUACCCAGUUGUCCAAACCAGAAACCUGGUGUCCUCCUGGAGUCCUGCUGCUCCCUCAGUCUCCCCAUAGCCACUUGAAUUAUCAAGCCCUAUCAUUCCUACCUCUAAUAUUUAUACCUCAAAUAGUUCUCAAUGCCCAUUUCUCUAUCACCCUUGCCACUGUCAUCUCUCUCCCUGCCACCCCAAUUUUUUU